UUUCCGUAGGUGAACCUGCGGAAGGAUCAUUAUUGUAUAACCGAGGUGCGAGGGCUGUCGCUGAACCGCAAGGUCGUGCACGCCCGAGUGCCCUCACACACAUCCCUCUCACCCUUAUGUGCACCACCGCGUGGGUCCCCCUUUGGCUUGUUCGGAGGGGGGCUUACGUUUACACACAAACUUUGUAUGCAGUGUAGAAUGUAUUUUUUGUUUUUGCGAUCACGCAAUCAAUACAACUUUCAACAACGGAUCUCUUGGCUCUC
rnacentral:misc_RNA from 1 species